GAAAGAUGAAAAGAACUUUGAAAAGAGAGUUAAACAGUACGUGAAAUUGUUGAAAGGGAAACGAUUGAAGCCAGUCGUACCUUCGGGUAAUCAGCCUUUCGGGUGCGAUUCUGUGGAGUGUGAGGAGCUUAAACACCUUCAUGUUUUGCAUAUUCGUACUCUUGGGUGUACUUGCCCGUGUGGUUGGUUAACAUCAAUUUUGGUGGUCAUAAAAUGACUGGAGGAAUGUAGCUUCGAUCUUGUAUUGAAGUGUUAUA
rnacentral:rRNA from 1 species